CCCUUAGAUGUUCUGGGCCGCACGCGCGUUACAAUGAUGCACUCAACAGGCAUAUAACCUUGGCCGAGAGGCCUGGGUAAUCCCGUUAACUUGCAUCGUGUUAGGGAUAGAUUAUUGCAAUUAUUAAUCUUCAACGAGGAAUGCCUAGUAAGCGCAAGUCAUCAGCUUGCGUUGAUUACGUCCCUGCCCUUUGUACACACCGCCCGUCGCUCCUACCGAUUGAAUGGUCCGGUGAAGCGUUCGGACCGUGGCCUUUGGACGGUUCGCCGUCUGUUGGCUGCGGGAAGUUCGUUAAACCUUAUCAUUUAGAGGAAGGAGAAGUCGUAACA
rnacentral:rRNA from 1 species